rnacentral:rRNA from 1 species
UAGGGAAUCUUCCGCAAUGGGCGAAAGCCUGACGGAGCAACGCCGCGUGAGUGAUGAAGGUCUUCGGAUCGUAAAACUCUGUUAUUAGGGAAGAACAAAUGUGUAAGUAACUAUGCACAUCUUGACGGUACCUAAUCAGAAAGCCACGGCUAACUACGUGCCAGCAGCCGCGGUAAUACGUAGGUGGCAAGCGUUAUCCGGAAUUAUUGGGCGUAAAGCGCGCGUAGGCGGUUUUUUAAGUCUGAUGUGAAAGCCCACGGCUCAACCGUGGAGGGUCAUUGGAAACUGGAAAACUUGAGUGCAGAAGGGGAAAGUGGAAUUCCAUGUGUAGCGGUGAAAUGCGCAGAGAUAUGGAGGAACACCAGUGGCGAAGGCGACUUUCUGGUCUGUAACUGACGCUGAUGUGCGAAAGCGUGGGGAUCAAACAGG